rnacentral:lncRNA from 1 species
CAGAGAUACAGUAUUUCUUUGCGGGAGAUCUGUCCUCUAGCCCUCAAAAGCUGAAGGGCCACAAAAACAGCUUCAUUUAAUGUCCUGGCCUGACUCCAGCAGGAGCCCCUGUGUCGUUCCAGGAAUACUGCGAGCAGCAAACCUUGCUCAGGUUAGGGGUCAGCACUGAAGCUGUUCAGCCAUUUAGAUGCUUCUCAGAAAAUCCCCCCAACAGACCAAGCCCCAUGAAAAUGACCUGAAAAAUAAAACCCAAGAAAUCAAUGCUGUGCUCUUUACAAUUUCUUUGCGGUAAAUAAAUACUGCAUUACCUACACCACGCUCACAUUAAAGGAUUUUCUUCACUGUGGGUAGUCACUCAGUUCAGAAUAUUCAGCGUUUGCUUCCCCUGUUUGUCAGAGGACCUGAUUUGUGAUGUCGCAUGAAACUUCAGAAUGCACUGUAGCUCUCGGCUCCCUCACACAGAAAAGGAGACGUAACAAGCUGUGUACCCUUGCCCACCUCUCCAGGAGAGGGAGAGCUACAGCCCGUGUUAUUGCUUUACCCCAAGGAAAAUACCACGAGGGCGCAUGGCAGGAGGAGUGCUGUAAUUUACAGAGCGCCUGGAGCACAGCCAUGGAAAACCAGUUCCUAGUGAUGUAUCAGGAUGAGUCCCACGAAGUCCAAAGAGGAUAAUUAAAGACAGUUCAACCAAAAGCAGUGGAAAGAGCCUGCUGUUGAAGAGGAGAGCAGUGCACAGCAAGCUCCUCCCCGUGCACAUAGGUCCAUGGCAGCAGCCUUGAAGCCCCAAGCAAUUUCCUCAAUAACUCCACCAAAUGAGCUGGAGAAACACUGCCUUCUGCCUUCUCCAGCAGCAUCUCUUUUUAGACAAAUUGUCAUUGGAAAACCUUUCAAGAAAACGUCUUGCUGUGAAAUACACUUUUCUUGCUUGAAAUAAAGGACAUGGGCAAGUGCUGGAGCUGAUAAUA